rnacentral:rRNA from 1 species
AUUGAACGCUGGCGGCAUGCUUUACACAUGCAAGUCGAACGGUAACAGGCCGCAAGGUGCUGACGAGUGGCGAACGGGUGAGAAAUGCAUCGGAACGUGCCCAGUCGUGGGGGAUAACGCAGCGAAAGCUGCGCUAAUACCGCAUACGAUCUAUGGAUGAAAGCGGGGGACCGUAAGGCCUCGCGCGAUUGGAGCGGCCGAUGUCAGAUUAGGUAGUUGGUGGGGUAAAGGCUCACCAAGCCAACGAUCUGUAGCUGGUCUGAGAGGACGACCAGCCACACUGGGACUGAGACACGGCCCAGACUCCUACGGGAGGCAGCAGUGGGGAAUUUUGGACAAUGGGCGCAAGCCUGAUCCAGCAAUGCCGCGUGCAGGAAGAAGGCCUUCGGGUUGUAAACUGCUUUUGUACGGAACGAAACGGUCCUGGUUAAUACCCGGGGCUAAUGACGGUACCGUAAGAAUAAGCACCGGCUAACUACGUGCCAGCCGCCGCCGUAAAAC